UACGGAGGGUGCAAGCGUUAUCCGGAUUCACUGGGUUUAAAGGGUGCGUAGGUGGGUCUGUAAGUCAGUGGUGAAAUCUCCGUGCUUAACAUGGAAACUGCCAUUGAUACUAUAGGUCUUGAAUUUUCUGGAGGUAAGCGGAAUAUGUCAUGUAGCGGUGAAAUGCUUAGAUAUGACAUAGAACACCAAUUGCGAAGGCAGCUUACUACGGAUAUAUUGACACUGAGGCACGAAAGCGUGGGGAUCAAACAGG
rnacentral:rRNA from 1 species